rnacentral:hammerhead_ribozyme from 1 species
AUUGCCUGACGAGUCCCAAAUAGGACGAAACGCGCGUCCUGGAU